UCGCAGGUUCGAAUCCUGCACGACCCACCAGUUUUAGCAUCGAAGACAAGAUGUUAAGCGUGUAGGAUAACGUUGCGUCAGCAACGGCCCGUAGGGCGAGCGAAGCGAGUCAUCCUGCACGACCCACCA
rnacentral:sRNA from 1 species